GACGAACGCUGGCGGCGUGCUUAACACAUGCCAGUCGAACGGAAAGGCCCUUCGGGGUACUCGAGUGGCGAACGGGUGAGUAACACGUGGGUGAUCUGCCCUGCACUUUGGGAUAAGCCUGGGAAACUGGGUCUAAUACCGAAUAGGACCACGCGCUUCAUGGUGUGUGGUGGAAAGCUUUUGCGGUGUGGGAUGGGCCCGCGGCCUAUCAGCUUGUUGGUGGGGUAAUGGCCUACCAAGGCGACGACGGGUAGCCGGCCUGAGAGGGUGACCGGCCACACUGGGACUGAGAUACGGCCCAGACUCCUACGGGAGGCAGCAGUGGGGAAUAUUGCACAAUGGGCGCAAGCCUGAUGCAGCGACGCCGCGUGUGGGAUGACGGCCUUCGGGUUGUAAACCUCUUUCAAUAGGGACGAAGCGCAAGUGACGGUACCUAUAGAAGAAGCACCGGCCAACUACGUG
rnacentral:rRNA from 1 species